rnacentral:misc_RNA from 1 species
GAUGAAGAAACGUAGCGAAAUGCGAUAAGUAAUGUGAAUUGCAGAAUUCAGUGAAUCAUCGAAUCUUUGAACGCACAUUGCGCCCGCCAGCAUUCUGGCGGGCAUGCCUGUUCGAGCGUCAUUUCAACCCUCGAGCCCCCCCGGGGGCCUCGGUGUUGGGGGACGGCACACCAGCCGCCCCCGAAAUGCAGUGGCGACCCCGCCGCAGCCUCCCCUGCGUAGUAGCACACACCUCGCACCGGAGCGCGGAGGCGGUCACGCCGUAAAACGCCCAACUUUCUUAGAGUUGACCUCGGAUCAGGUAGGAAUACCCGCUGAACUUAAGCAUAUCAAUAAGCGGAGGA